GGAAUUUUCCAUGAACCCCCCAUAUCGUUUUCAUAUCGUGCUCCUUCCUGCCUGUUUCCCAUGAUUUUCUUCUCUAUUUCCCAAGCCCUUUUUGUCAAAGAACCAACCAUCUCAUAAAAGCCCAUCCCUAUCUCUUCUACUUUCCACAUAUAUUAGAGCAUGCAGUAGAAAUCUUUUCAAAAACAAGAUAACAAACAGAACAAAAUUAAACCCACUUGAUACUGCCAACAAUGGCGACUCCUUGGCCUGAAAAUCUAUCAACCAACAGGGUACGGGUCAUAAAAGUGCUUGCUCAGGGCCAAGAAUCUGCAACCCAUCUUCAAUUACUCCUCAAGAAACCUUAUGGAGAAGAUGUGUUUCUCUUAGAUGAUAAGCUUGUAGUCAAGAUCAUGAGAUCUUUCACUGAAGCUCUUUCCCUGUUAACUUCUAGUGAUUUUGUUGAGAUUCUUCAGAACCAGACAACUUCACAAGUGGACUCGGUUUGUUGUGAUGACCGGAGAUCUCGAGAUUCCGGAGAGAGCAAGAAGAGGCCAACUGCCAAGGAUAGGAGGGGUUGCUACAAGAGAAAGAAGACUUCCCAG
rnacentral:misc_RNA from 1 species